GAGCUGUGAUGAUAUUAGGCUUUAGCGAUGGUUGGGUCCAUCGCACUCUUCUGAACCACAGGUUGAGAUUUGCCGCACCCUGAGCUC